rnacentral:lncRNA from 1 species
UCCAUUUAUAGAUGUUACUAAAAAUUACUUUGCUACCAUAAUUUUAGACAUAUAUGUAUAUAUCCAAAAUACCAUGCCUCGAUGCUAGAUUACAUUUAACAUUUGACAACACUAGAGAUUAUGAUGACUAACUGUGGUGGAAGGUGAUAUAUCAUACAUGUUAUACAAACAUUAUUAAUCCUUUUCACAUGGUACAUACAUAUAUAUAGAACCAUCUCCUGGCCAUUUACAUUGGCACAGGAUCUAUGAGCAUCCCUGCAACCAGAUCUUUCAUCAAUGGUCCAACCAGCGUGUACUCAUCUUCGUCCUUGUACAAGACGUCCAUCAUCCGGCUAAAAUUCAGAACACGGGUGAGGAGUGGAACUGGCACUGCUGUAGGUUGCAGGAACUCCUCAUUAUUAUCCUUCCAUGCACUCUCUACUUGCUUCUUGAACUCAUCAUAAGCUUCUUCCUUUGAAACCCCAUAUUGCUUCAUGUAGCAUUCUACGGCUGANGCUACAUGCCCUCUUUUUUGCUNNNNNNNNNNNNNNNNNNNNNNNNNNNNNNNNNNNNNNNNNNNNNNNNNNNNNNNNNNNNNNNNNNNNNAGCAGCAUCCAUUAUGCAAUAUGGAUAUGUACCUCAUGGGAAACUAUGUCAUCCAUAAGCCUGCAAAUGACGUUUGAAGCUCUAAUCAUCUUAGGGUCACUGAAAACCCAAUCGAAGGCCUCCUUGGUUACUAUAUCUCCCAUACCGACGAAAGAUGUGGUUGUAAGCAUAGAGCAGGCAGAGCUUACCAGCGCGUUGCUCAUGUACUCCUCCAUUCUUGGUAUAUAUUCUUGCUUCAACCAUUUGGCUUCAAGAAGGUAGGCUUGGACUUGCCUUUUUAACUGAGUUACAUUGUUGAGAUAUUAUGAUAUAUUCUAGGAAAGUAGUUGUUAUUGUUUAGGAUUGUUUCCUAAACUCACGACAUUGUUUAGGAUUGUUUCCUAAACUCACGGUUUUCCCUUAAUUAGGUUUGCUUGAUGUACUAUAUAUUUACGUGGAUGAAUAUCAAUAAGGGUUAAGCUUUGACCCUUUAAUCACACUUUACAUGGUAUCAGAGCACUGACAUGCACACACAAUAAAACAAUGGCCGGCGACGAUGAACAACCACCAUUGCCGCCACCUAAAAGGGAGAUGAAUUCACCUUUUUUUCUCGGCACAGGAGACCGACCAGGCGACUUCAUCACUCCCACUCGCUUACGCGGCGACAAUUACGAUGAUUGGGCUUCUAAUAAUGAAGAUCACAAUAGUUGUUAUGGACCACCAAAAGAAUUCUAAAAAGAAAAAACCCAUGUAAAUAGGGGAAAAUCCUAAAAUAUCGGUAAAAAAUAAAGGAAAAAUUCACAAAAAUGGGGAAAAUCGUAAUUUUGGACAUGUGAGUUUGGAAUUUUGUACUUGGGCUUUUUGACAAACUACCACUUUUUCCUUAUUUAUUUAUUUUGUUAUACAAUACAUUACAAAAAAAAUACUAUCAAAAUUAAGAUAGGCCUUUUUUUUUGCUUUUAAAAAUUAGAAAAUAAUUGUAAAUUUUACAAAAGGUACAAAGAUUUGAAACUUAGGAAGUUCAGUCUUAUUACAAUUCAUAGUAACACAACCCUUUUCAGAAAAACUGAGCCACCAAAAUUCAAGUGGGGCUAUGCAAUAUUUUUUCCUUUGUAAAGAACAGUUCUAUAAAUAACAAAACACAAACGGUCAUUGAUCACACAAUUAACAGAUAGAAAUUUAUUGUAUCUUAAAAAAUAAUGAAUUAUCAAGCAAUAACGCCUGUUUGGAAAUGUUUUCACAAAAAAAAAAAAAUAGAAUAGUUUUAUCUAUAAAAUCAUAGUCAUUAACUCGAGUUUAAACUUAAAUUUAAAAUCAUAAUUGGUAACUGCACUUUUAAUUAUUUUUAGAAAAAAAAAACAUUAAAAUUAUAGUCAUCGACAAUUUUGUAACUUGGAUUGCAUGAGCACUGGUUUGAGAAUUAUGAGGAGUUAAUUUAUGGAAUUUUUUUAAAAUAAAUUAUUUUUAUUAAAAACUCAAUUAAUUUGGGGUAUUAAGACUAACAGAGGGUGCAGUCUACCACAAGCAGACUGGAUAUGAAAAAGAGGUUAAGACUCAUGAAAAAUAAUAUCUCUCAUCUAUUAUCACACAAUUUUUGUCAUUAAUUAUCUUUCUUCUUUUUACCGUUCAUUAACUAAUUUCUAACCAUCAAUUCAUUUCUUAUGAUGUUCAUCAUGUUUGAAUGACAUGUAACUAUUUAUGAUAUAGUAAACUUUCACUCAUAUUAAAAUUAAAGUUAAAAGUAAUUAAAAAAUCAAUUGAUAUAAUAAAUAAUAAAUUAAAAUUAAAAGUAAAUAAUUGAAAUAUUGGAGGAAAUUAAAAAUAAAAAUUUUAAAAAUUUUGAAUUUUAAAUUUAUCCAUAUGGAAAUUGAGGGAGAAAGAUAAUUUGUAUAAUAUAAUUUUUAUUAGCAAACUCAUUUUAAAAUUUUGUGUUUGAUAAGAAUGUAAUAAAAAUAUAUUUAUUCUAAUAAUGAAGAUCACAAUAGUCCAAGUUGUUAUGCACCACCAAAAGAAUUCUAAAAAGGAAAAAUUCACCAACGGGAAAAUCGUAAUUUUGGAAUUUGGAUAGGUGUAUACUAGUCUCUUUCUUUCCUUUCCCUGGUAUGGAAGGUAUAGGUCUAUAUAUACUUGGAAGAACCAGUCAAAUUCGGCAAAAUCCAUAUUAUAAUUUUCUUUGAUUUCUUAGAGAAACUGAGUUCCCCCAAUGCCCGGCAUACAGAGGAAGAUGAAGAGGGCAAGACGAAGACGUACAGGAGACGAGGUAAAGGGAUUUAAUUUCAAUUAUUAGAGUGUAAUGUAGAUGAUUAACUCUUUUCUGACGUCCAUUCUCAAUUCUGGCUACGUAGUACAUAUCCGAUGACGGUGAUUUUGGGGAGGACCUGCUUAGCGAGUUGCCGGAUGAAAUUCUUAUUUCAAUACUAUCUCGCCUAACCCUAAGGGAAGCUGCGGCUACCAGUGUUCUCUCACAGCGNNNNNNNNNNNNNNNNNNNNNNNNNNNNNNNNNNNNNNNNNNNNNNNNNNNNNNNNNNNNNNNNNNNNNNNNNNNNNNNNNNNNNNNNNNNNNNNNNNNNAAAAUGUAUAUUCUUAGCUAUAGUCCUUGCUUGUGUAAAUGAUUUUGACUCCCUGGCAUUUUAUUUUACAGUUAAAAUGGCGAACUCAAAUCAUACCAGUCGCAAAAAGAUAUGCCAAGGCAUUGAUCCAAUAUUCCCAUCAAUACCUGAAACUGGUGAAAAUUGUUGGUUUUAAUGAUUGUAGCAGUGCUUGUGAGCUAGUCAUGCAGAUUAUUGAAAAUGCUAUUGCACUCGAGAAAAUUAUCAUUGAUACAAGCCAAGGACAUAGGAGGAGGGGACCAUGGUUGAAGAGACAACUAGCUGCAAGAACAAGAGCUGAGCAAUUGAAAUCACAUGUACCUCCGAGCCUGGAAUUUAUAGUACUUUAAAUCUUAAGCAGGUGUAUGGUUUUGGAAUUCAAUUUUUUUUAGUAUCUACUUCUGAUGUUUGGUAUUAAUAUUAAGAAUUUAUGGUCUCAAUUAAUGCUUAUUUGGUUUGCUUAAUUGUGAAUGAGAGUGCUGCACAAACUUAAAAAUUCUCCUAAUGCAUUUUGGGGAUCGAGGGAUUCACGACUUCCAUACUCCCAAAACCCUCUUGCGUUAAUAAGCCAGUUGCAUAUUCCCUAGAUAUCGUCAUUGUGUCUUCUUUCAAUUGCAAUAUGAAGACCAUGUCUUAUCUUAUAGGUAAAAGUACAUUUUGAUACUAGCACAUGCACUUGAGAGGAGUAGGAAAGAGUUCAUCUAGAAGAUUAAAAAAUGUUGAAGAUUUAAAGAUUAAGGUGGUGUUUGUUUUUUUGGUUUUUUGCUGAAAGCAAUUUGUUUUCAGAAUUUAGGAUGUUUGUUUUUAUACUUUUUUAUGACUUAUUAUAGACUUUUUAUUAAAUAGAAAAAACCAAAAUAUGUAAUUUUUUCUAAAUAGAAAAAAUAACAUAUUGAUUUUUCUUUACUUUUUAAUAUUUAAUAAAAAUAAAAUACUACAAAAACAAACAAUCUAAUAUUUAACACUAUUAAGCAUUUAUGUUCUAUUUAAAAUUAAGUAAAAAAACAAACACCAUCUAAGAAUUAAUAGUUGAAGAAUUCAUAAAUUGAGUUUUGAGGCCCUUUAAAAUCAAGUUUGAAAAAUCCAAAACCAAGCAUUCACACCCUUUGAUUAUCAUUGUUCAAUUCAAGUGAAGCCGAUUCAAAGGCUAGAUCAUGCUGAAGGCCAAGUCAUAAUAAGACCCAAAUCAAGUUAAAACCCAAGUCAAUGUGACCAAAAGCCAUGUGAAGGUCAAGAGUAGUCAAAUUUCAAGUAACACCAAAGGCCAAACUAAGUCAAAUCCCAACUCAAGCCAAUACAAAUCAAGUAAAAAUUUAAAGUCAAACCAGUGUUUAAGUCAAGUCCAUGCCCAAGCCAUGUCAAGACCUAAGUCAAUGCAUGUCCAGUGCAAAGGUAUACCUCUUCAAUAAUGCCUGGGUUUGUAAUGAUUCUUCCAUACACCACUUUGAUUGUUGUUCAAAAUUGUUUGUCAAUGGUGGAUUAAUCUGCUUAACAGUUGCUCAAUGACAAACAAAUCCACAAAAAAUGAACUUCACCGUAACUACUGAUCAUCAUUUUAAGCAGAAUCUACCAAACGGACCAAACCUCAUCUUUCUUCCUCUUCUAUUCUUCCUUCUUUACAUAUUUUCUUUUAUCAAAGUUCGAAUACUGCUAAAAUUUCGGCCAUUUCCUCAGUCAGAAUUUACAACCUUUGUUUUGGACGGGGGGUUUAGGUUGAGCUUAACUGCAUGCACAUGAAAGUAAGUUUUAGGAACAUGCUAUGUACCGUAAGGUACCUAUCAAGUCCAAAUCUAGACCAUUGGAUAUGUAUAGUGAGAUUUAGGCAUUGAACAAGGGUACAAGAAAAUGAGACCAAUGUAUAAGGGUAUAAACAAAUGAGAUUAUGAUAUAAACAAUAAAACUUAAAAAAAUUGUACAUACACUACUUGAUUGAUGGUGUGUUUUUAAUACGUAUUGAAAAAAAUAUCAUUAGCUAGGUAUCAUAAAUGAACCUUAAGUUUUAAUAUUCACUUCUUCCUUAUAUUCUUCAACAGUAGGACACGCCUUUUCAUUAAAGUUCAUUUUCAAAAGUAGUUUUCCUAACAUUUUUCAAACACUUCUUUCAUAUCCUCAUUUUUUUUUUUUAAGAACAAAACUCCAUUUUUUGAACUUGGAAUGUUGUCAAAAUGUUUUUUAUAUUUUCAAAUAUUUUUAAAAAAUAACUUAUACAUAUAAUGCUUUAUUUUUAAUCAUUUUUUAUAUUUAUACAAUUAUUUUUUUUUAAAAAAAACCUCAAAGAACAAGUAAAAACAAUUAAAUUAUGUCAUCUGCAAGGCAACUUGUUUUUAAAACAAUUUUCAAAAACGUGUUUUGUAAAUGAUUGAUCGUCAAACAUGUUUUCAUAUUUUUCAGUUCUUAAAAAUAAUUAAAACUUAGUUUUGAAAACAAUUUUGAAACAUAGUCCAAUCCUAUAUAUGUAUAUCCUAAAAUUGGGAGUAUAUGUUGUAUAAUUUAUGAGUAAUAUCAUAAAAUAAUUAUCUGAAGUGACUUUUGGAUAAAAAAGGAAAGAGAAAAAAAUGAUUUUAGUAUUUUAAUUAAAGUGAUUUUCAAAUUUUUUGAAAAUGGCAUUAAAUUUUUUUGUUAAACAUUGGAUUUGUACAAGAAGAACACUUUCAAUAAAACCAUUUUAAUCACUCUCUCAAUAUAAACAAAAAAUUGGAGAUGGGUACUUUUAAUCUAAUUGAAAAAGAAUGUUAAAAAUAUUUAUAUGCAAUUUCAAAUAAUUUUUGAACCAAAACUCUAUAGUGCCCUCAUGGACACACAGAUUCAUGAAUUAUUAUUAUUUGUCCUUUAUGUCACAUGUUUUAUGUCCAAAGAUUUAUCAAUAUUGCGUGGGACCAAAUGAAUGAUGUUCAUACAUUUGGGUCUUCUAUGUCUUUUUGAAAUACCCCAUCCAAAAAUAAUUUCAAUUUGGAAGCACAUAAUAUGAUAUAUGUGGGAGCAAAUGAUAGAGAUUUGCUUCAUUUUAUCAAAUAAUUGAAUUGAGGAUAAGAUAUACAUUAAUGUAAUCUCAUCCUAUUGAAGUGAAGGAGAUUUUAGUAUAAUAAUUUUGUGAUUAUUAAUUUAGGAAUAUUAGAUUUUUAUCAUUGACAUUGGCUUAGCAAGGAUUUUAUUACCUACGGCAAGACGUAACAAAAAAGGCAAAAAGACUUACAAAAGAUUCCAUUUAUAAACUCUUUGGUCCCUUAAAAUUAAAAGAACAAACAAUUGUCACAAUCAUACUCUUUUAUUGAUGGACUUGGGAGAUGAUAGAAAUGGAAGUUAAUAGAUAACUCUUCAUAGAUGAUUUUGAUAACAAACAAACGAUGAUUGAAAUAGGGAUGGUAUAUGCAACACCCAAACUAUAUAUCAAUCAUAUUUUCAUACGACGGAUGAAGCACAGUAUCGAACCAUCGCCGCAUUUACAUUGGCACAGGGUCUAUAAGCAUCCAUGCAAUAAGAUCUUUCAUCAACUUCCCCACAUGUGUGUACUCGUCUUGAUUCUUGUAUAAGAGAUCUAUCACACGGGCAAAAUUAACAACACAUGUGAGAAGAGGCAUGGGCACUUGUGUACGUUUGAGACACUCCUCAUUCAUAUCCUUCCAUGCAUUCAUUAUUUCAUUAUUGAACUCCUCACACGCCUCUUGCUCAGUAACACCAUAUUGCUUCAUGUAGCAUUGAACUCUUGAGACAACAUAUCCUCUUUUUUGCUCAAACUGUCCAACAAAAAAAAGGAGAAAAUCAAACAAUUUCUAUUGUAUUAAGUUUCCUAUAUAGAUUACUUAAAACUAUAUUUAGUCAUAUAUAAUUAAAAUUAAUAAGAAACUUAUAUAUUUUAAAAUUAUUUAAUUUUUAUAUAAAAGAAUUAAAUAAGUGAAAUAGGGUACCUCAUGGUCAACUAUGUCAUCCAUGAGCCUGCAAAUGAUUGCUGAAGCUCUAACCAUCUUGGGGUCACUGAAAACCCAAUCGAAGGCCUUCUUGGUUACCAUAUCUCCCAUGCCAACAAAAGAUAUGGUUGCGAGCUGAAAGUAGCCACAACUUACUAGUGCAUUGGUCAUGUACUCCUCAAUUGUUGGUAUAUAUUCUUGCUUCAACCAUUUGGCUUCAACAAAAUAGGCUUGGACUUGCUUUUUCAUCUGAGUUACAUAAUCAUGCAAAAUAUACAUUAAUUUUGGCCAUACCAAACACAAUUCAACGGAACAAUAGGUCUAUGUUUAGUAGCUAGGAAAUUUUGAGGAAAAAUAUAAGAGAGAAUGUAAAAACGGAAAAGUAAAAGAAAAGAAAUGAUGAAAAAUAUAUAUUUAUAUAUAUAUAUAUAUAUAUAUAUAUAUAUAUAUAUUUAAAGCCGUAAAUUAUUUUUAUAUGCUAUUUUAAAUUCAUUUAACUUAUUUUAAUCCUUUAAUAUAAAAAUUAAAUAAUUUGAAAAUACAUAAUUUCCUAACUAAUUUUAAUUAUAUUUUAUUUUUUUAUUUUAUUUUCUGUCAUGUGAGAAUUAUUUUUCUUAUCAUUUUUUUUUUUCUUUCCUUCCUUAUGCUUACGAGAACCAAAUAUAACCUAAGGGAUCUAGAAGAAGAAGGGACAUUGAUGCCAAACUGCUUGUUUUGCAUAGUGAACACGGUAUGGUUUUUCUUGCUUGGUCAUCUCUUCCUCUAUUUCUUCAAAGACAUCUAAGAGAGCCUGAUAACACAACUUCAUAUAAUCUGGGAGUUGAUCUAUGCUGCCGGCAUCCCAUCUGCAAGUAAAGCAACAGAUAUAUUUGGAACUUUCUACCAGAAACUAGAAAUUAAGGUAAAGAUGGUGAUGUUCAUGUAUAUAUCAAACCUCUCAAUCGCUUCGGCAAAGAGUUUGAGUUCUUCAAAUGUACCAUGUGUGUCAUAUAUAUCAUCUAUAAUGGAUGUCAUGGCGAAUACUUUCAGUAAGAUCCUUCUAGCAAGGAAAUAUUGGGGCUCAAAGUACACUCCCAAUACCCAAAAGUAUCCCUCCACUAUUCUGUCCCUUGCAAAGGGUAGCUUUGUAGCAAAAUCUAAACCUUUCCACCACCUGAUCAAAGAUAUAUCAAUAGAUGAUCAGAGUCAUGAGAGUUGCUCAACAGCUAGCUUUCUGCAAACAAUUGGAGUUAAAAAACUUACUUAGUGAUCUCACUCAGCUCUUUCCUGUGGAGUGACUGCAACAGGUUGAAAUCUAACUUUGCAAGCUUAAGUAAAGAUUUAUUAUGUGAAUCAUAUUCUUGGUAGAUGGAAAUGUAGUGCCUUGCCUCCACCCUUAUUAAGCUCUUGCGAAUCGGCCGCUCUAGAGCGUGAAUCACUUGUUUUUGAGAGGAUUAUCUGAAUCAGGUGCCAUGGACUGAAGGUGGGCAGUGGUGAAAGCCUGGGCUUCAUCCAGUAUGUCUUCUCCAUGCACCAUUAAAUGUGUAGCUUCAUAUAGAGCUAGCAUGCCUGGUAAGUCACCCACCAAUGAUUCCUUGAAGUUGCCUUCCUCGUCCUUGAACUUCUUAAAUACAUCUAUUUCAUCAUCAAGGUUUAAUAUAUAACCAUUAAAUCAAAGAUAAUUUAUUCAAGACGACAUAUAUAUAUAUUUAUUUAUGAACUUCUUUUGAUCAUGUAGUAUUGUUUUAAAAUCGUGAGAACUUCUUGGAUCAGAUCAGUUAUUCAAGAUGACAUAUACAUAUUUAUGAACUCUUUUUAAUCAUGUAGAUGUGUUUUAAAGUAAAGAGGGUUUCUUGGACCAAAGCGGAUAAUAUCUACAAGAAAAACCACUGAAAGUUCAAUAGGGAACACCUAAAAGGAUGAUGAUCUUCAACCCAAGAUUCAAAGAUCUAAUCCUUAAAUGAGAUAUUAGGAAUGGUGUGACACUUUAGGCCUUCUCUCUAAGAUCCUUUCCAAGGAAUGAAAGGUCCCUCAAUAAUCUCUUUCCAAUAUCUUGAAAUUCAUCCAAAAUUCGUUUCUAAUUUUGGUAGGACUAUCAUGAUCUCUUAAGCGGACUUAUGCCACUUGAGUGGGAUUAGUUAUUUGAGUAGCCCCUGCUUCUUUUGAAAAAUCAUUUUAUAACAUUUUAAGUCUAAAAAUGAUACUGAACAUUUUUAUACUUCAAAGGAGCCUAAUAUGUCAUAUGUCAAACCUCUUUAGACGUACCCAUGACAUCCCAAUUGGACGAAAAACAACUCUUGAUCUUCAGUGAAGAGUAAGUCACUAUAAAAAAAGACUUCUAUAAUCAAAUAUUAAAAGGAAUAAAUCUACCAACAUAUAAAUAAGACUUAAUGUCCUAAUAUACAUGUUUGUAAGGUGGUUAUAAUUAGUAUCAAAGCCCAUCCAAACUCUGGUGUGAAAGUUCAUUUAGUCUCGCAAUCCCAUGAAACAUAACGAGAAUGAUUGUGAUAUCCUAUGUCGAAUAGGAGAAAAACUUUUUGAUACCAUAUAUAUAGACCCUUCUUAAUCAUGUAGACUUGUUUUAAAAUUGUGAGAGCCCUUUGAACUAGAAUCAAUAGUAUUUACAUGGUUAAUAGUAGAUCAUUACACAUACUCGCAGCAAAUAUGGGACAAAAGCUUUUACCGGAUGGAAUGUGGUAGCCUUCUUGUCUUAGUAACCGGAUUCGAAGAGCAGCACUGGCAAGGUCAUCGUUAUCAUCAUCAACCAAAUUAUAUGUUUCAUACAUAACUUUUAAUGCUUCUUCUAUCUCCCUUUCAAAGUGGUAAGCCAAGCCCGAGCGUUGGAUGGAAUCUAUGAAGUUCAGCAGUUGUGAAGACUUCCCAGCAGUAGCUUUUAGCUCCUUUCUCACUUCUUCUUUCAGUCCUUCAAGUUCUUUUUCUUUGCAGGCAUGUGUUACCUGGACCAAAAAUUAUAUAAACAACAUAAACAUCUAAUACUACAAAAAAUAAUUUUUUUUUAGAACUUCAAGUAUUUACCGUAUCAUCAGGAAUGUAGGUGAGGAAACAGUCACCCCAGAAGUUGGGAACAAAGUUUGCAGUGUUGCGAGCCAGCUUAGGAUCAGCCUUCUGGGUGAUUGAUAGUGGGAAAGAAGACAUACUUUGGCCAGAGAAGAAGCCUAAGAAAGUGUCGUUGCUUCUUAUGCCCUUGUCGGUGGUAUGUGGAAGUGGAACUCAUGCAUUUAUAGGCCGGGCAGCUAGGCUUCUUAGUUUUGAGAAAAUCAUUUCCUUUCCGUUUUUUUUUCUUUUCUUAAUAUUUUCUGGAGCCAAAUAUAACCAAAACAAUUAUCUGAAGUGAUUUUUGGAAAAAAAAAAUAAAAAAAUGCUUUUGGUCUUUUAAUUAAAGUGAUUUUCAACAUUUUUAAAAGUGAUAUUAAAUUUUUUUGUUAAACAUUGGAUUUGUACAAGAAGAGAACUUUCAAUAAAACGAUUUUAAUUACUCUCUCAAAAAUGUAUAAACAAAAAAUUGGAGAUGGGUAUUUUUAAUCUAAUUGAAAAAGAAUGUUAAAAAUAUUUAUAUGCGAUUUCAAUAAUACCCUCAUGGACAUCAUUCAAGACAUUAUUAUUUGUCGGUAACAUGUCACAUAUUUCAUAUGCAAAGAAUAUGCGAAGAUUUAACAAUAUUGUGGGGGACCUGAUGUUCAUACAUUUGAAUUGAGGAUAAGAUAAGAUGAUCAACAUUGAUGCACUCUCAUCCUAUUGAAGUAAAGGAGAUUUUAGUAUAAUAAUUUUGUGAUUAUUUAUUUAGGAUAUUCGAUUUUUAUCACCUUUUGUGGACAUUGGCUUUCCAAGGAUUUUUUUAUUUUUUAUUUUAUUAUAAAGCCAAUAAUUAUAAAACUGUCAAAAUUGUGAAAAUAUUGUGGAUUGAAGUCGAGCAUGUUAACAAGGUAAACUUAUACUCUACAUUUGCUAAAAACCACCAAAAUUGUGAUUCGGAAUUUUUGUAGGAUGGGAUUUAACAAUAAAAAACUCUUUUUUACAAGUAAGAAGUUAGGAGAUUGUUUGGGAAUGAUAAUUUAGAACAAUUUUUUGUUUUUUAUAACAAAAAACAAAAAAAAAUAUGUUGGACAAUUAAAAAUUGUUUUUUGUUUUAUGUUAUUUAGAAUAAAAAAUAUGAUAUUUUCAAAUAACAUCUUUUUAUUGUUUUUUAUUAUUUUUACUUAUUUUCAAAUAAUAUUUUUUUAGAACUCUUAAUAUUUACCGUAUCAUGGGGGGUGUAGGUGAGGAAACAGUCACCCCAGAAGUUAGGAAGAAAGUUUGCAGUGUUGCGAGCCAGCUUCGGAUCAGCCCUCUGGGUGAUUGAUAGUGAGAAAGAAGCCAUGCUUUGCCUAAAGAAGAAACUUAAGAAAGUGUCGUUGCUGCUUAUGCCCUUGCGGGUGGUAUGUGGAAGUAGAACUCAAUGUAUUUAUAGGGAAGCCCUGGUUUCUCUAGGCUGUUUGGAUUCAUAGAAAAAAAAAUAUAUAUAUAUAUAUAUAUAUAUAUAUAUAUAUAUAGAAAUAGCUAGAUUAAAGAUGGACAAGGUGGAAGCUCAUGCUACAUGUGUUAUAAUAUCAAAAAAUAAUUGUAUAAAAGAUCACAAAUGAGCUUAAUCCUUUAAAAAAACAAACAAAAAAAAAGAAUAUUGAAGUAUAGAAAUUUCAAGAUAAUAAUAUUUUUUUUUGUUAAAUAUAUAUCACCUGUUAUUUGGGUGGAGCAAAUAGCAGCAAAUUCGAUGAUUCCAAAAAAAUCAAACACAGUCACACUCAAUUAAUUAAUUAAUUUAUUUUCUUUUACUUUAAAUUUGGAGAUGGGCAUUUUUAAUCUAAUUAAAAAAGAAUGUUAAAAAUAUUUAUAUGCCAUUUCAGAUAAUAUUUGAACCAAAACUCUAUAAUGCCCUCAUGGACAUAGAGAUUCAUGACUUAUUAUUAUCUAUCGCUAACAUGUCACAUGUCUUAUAUGCAAAGAUUUAACAGUAUUGUGGGGGACCAAAUGAAUGAUGUUCAUACAUUUAAAUGAGGAUAAGAUAAGACGAACAUUGAUGCACUCUCAUCCUAUUGAAGUAAGGGAGAUUUUAGGAUAUUCAUUUUUUAUUUCCUUUUGUGGACAUUGGCUUACCAAGGAUUUUUUUUUCUUUUAUGAUAAAUCUAAUAAUGAUAAAACUGUCAAAAUUGUGAAAAUAUUGUGGAUUGAAGUUGAGCAUGUUAACAAGGUAAACUUAUACUCUACAUUUGCUAAAAACCACCAAAAUUGUGAUUCGGAAUUUUUGUAGGAUGGGAUUUAGCAGUAAAAAAACUCUUUUUUACAAGUGAGAAGUUAUGAGUUUGUUUGGAAAUGACAGUCUAGAACAAUUUUUUGUUCUUCAUAACAAAAAAACAUUAAAAAUGGGUUGGACAAUUAAAAAUUAUUUUUUAUUUUAUGUUAUUUAGAAUAGAAAAUAAGAUGUUUUCAAAUAACAUCUUUUAGUUUUUUUUUUUUUCACUUAUUUUCAAAUAAUAUUUUUUUAGAAUUCUUAAUAUUUACCGUAUCAUCAGGGUGUGGGUGAGGAAACAGUAACCCAGAAGUUAGGAAGAAAGUUUGCAGUGUUGCAAGCCAGCUUAGGAUCAGCCCUCUGGGUGAUUGAUAGUGAGAAAGAAGCCAUACUUUGCCUAAAGAAGAACCUUAAGAAAGUGUCGUUGCUGCUUAUGCCCUUGUGGGUGGUAUGUGGAAGUAUAACUCAUAUUUAUAGGGAAGCCCUGGUUUCUCUAGGCUGUUUGGAUUCAUAGAAAAAAUAUAUAUAUAUAUAUGGAAAUAGCUAGAUUAAAGAUGGACAAGGUGGAAGCUCAUGCUACACGUGUUAUAAUAUCAAAAAAUGAUUGUAUAAAAGAUCACAAAUGAGCUUAAUCCUUUUUUUAAAAAAUAAUAAUAAUAUUGAAGUAUAGAAAUUUCAAGAUAAUAAUAUUUUUUUUGUUAAAUAUAUAUCACCUGUUAUUUGGGUGGAGCAAAAAGCAGCAAAUUCGAGGAUUCCAAAAAAAUCAAACAUAGUCACACUCAAUUAAUUAAUUUAUUUAUUUUCUUUUACUUUAAAUUUGUUGGGGUUAAGAUGAGGCAAAAUAAAAUAUGUGGACCCAAUUAAUGGAUUAUCAAUAUUUUAAAUUAAUAAAAAUUGAACUAGAAUAUACAUUUUUAGAACUGAUUUUUGUUGGGGGCCUAGUGUGAUGAUCGAUGUUGAUCUAUUGAGUUUUGCAACAAUUAAAUGUAAAGAGAAAACAUGAAAAAUUAUAUUAUCAAAUUUAUAUUAAGAGUUCCUAAGAAUUUGUUUGAUAAUUAUUAUACAACGUACUUUUGAUAUAAAAAAUGUCUUUGAAAAAAAAAAUUAUAUAUUUGGUAAAAUUUUAAAAAUAUUUUUAAAACUUUUAAAAAUAACUUUUAGAGUUGAAGAAAGUAGGCAUUGAUAGAAAAUAUUUUUAAAAGAAUUACUUAAAGUGUUUUUUUUUUUUUUGUUUUUUUUUUUUAUGUUAAAAACAUUUUUUUAAAAAUAUUUAAUUUAUCAAAUACUUAAUUAAUUUUUUUUUUUAAGUUAAAAACACUUUUUAAAAUCAUUAUCAAACUUACUUUUUAAUUUAGUUUGUGGUAUAAAAAUAAUUAGGAUCAACAUUUUAAAAGUCUUAUUUCAGAACAUUUUGGAAAAAGUUAUUAGUUCCAAAUUAUUUUUAACUUAUUUUUCAUAAAAAUAUUAAUUAGUUUACAGUAAUCUAUAAAAUACAAUUGGAAACAUAAAGUUUCUUUUGAAAAACAAACCCUAUUCAAAACAAAUAAAAAACAUAAAUAAAAGCCAAUUUUAUGUUAAUUCUUAAGCAUUUUAUAUUUGUUGUAUUGCGCUCAAAUAUAGUUAAUAUAUUAUUUUUUGAAAAAAAAAACAUAUUUUCACAUGCUCAUAUAAAAAUAAUUAUAAAAUAAUAAAAUUUUAAAAAUAAUUCAAAUUUUAAAAACAAACCCUAUGUACCGAGCUGUUUCUUUAUCAUCCUCAUCAAACUUCACAUUAGAUGUCGUAUGCUAUAUCUUCAUUUUCAUUGUGUGGUUUGUAGUAGUAUUCUUCUAUUUUUUUCUUUCGAUUUUUGAGGAAGACAUAAAUUGGAAUAUUGUUAUGAGGGAAUAAAAUCUUAUAUAAAUUGGAUUGUUUGGAGGGAAGAAAUCUUAUGCAGAUUGCUUGGCAUGGUUGGUGCCACAUCCUAAUUUCCAUACCAUGGCCUACUAUUUUAGAUUUUAGUUGGCUUGUGGGCUCUCUCCCUAAUUAGUUGGCAAAAGUUUCCCUUUUCAAAGAAGUAUUUGUCGGAUUUUUCAUCUUGGUUGUCGAAAGUACAUAUAAUAAAAUUUACAUCAGUGUAUGAUAAUAUAAAUAAUAAAGAUGUAAAAGAAUGAUAUAAAAAACAGAUGAUGGGACCAAGAUAUAAAGUAGUAGGACCGAAUUUGAUACAAAAUAAUGAGACAUGAACGUGAUUGAUCAAGUUUUUAUAUAUCAACCAAACCCUAUUAAGAUUUAGCUAGCUUGGUUUCUUUUGUGAUUUGAUGUUUCUAAGAUGGGGAGAAGAUGAGUUUUUUUUUUUUUUUUUUUUUGAACAUUUGUAUAUAAUCCAACCAAAAAAAAGGAAGCUAUUAUUAUUUCACAACAAUAUGGUAACAGUGCAUUGCAUUCUUACUGUCCUAACCCAAUUAAAUCUCAAAUGCAAUAGGAAACAUCGUAAAGCCAAAGCCACAAUUAUAUGGGCAAAGGGUCUAUGAGUAUGGAUGCAAUGAGAUCUUUUGUAAUGUUUUCAACAUGUGUGUACUUGUCUUUGUCCUUAUACAGGACAUCCAUGACGUGGAUAAGAUUAAGAAUAAGUGUGAGGAGAGACAUUAGUGUUUGUGUAGGUCUAAGCAAUGUUUUUAGAAUUGAACCGGUCAUUAAACUGAAAAAGUUACUAGUUCACGGUUCACUGGUUAGAUCAAUGGUCGAAUCGCGGUUAAAGUGUUUUUUUUUUAUUUUUUAUGUUAAAAACGUUUAUAGGGAAGUAGAACUCAAUGUAUUUAUAGGGAAGCCCUGGUUUCUCUAGGUUGUUUGGAUUCAUAGAAAAAAAUAUAUAAUAUAUAUAUAUAUAUAUAUAUAGAAAUAGCUAGAUUAAAGAUGGACAAGGUGGAAGCUCAUGCUACAUGUGUUAUAAUAUCAAAAAAUAAUUGUAUAAAAGAUCACAAAUGAGCUUAAUCCUUUAAAAAACAAACAAAAAAAAAGAAUAUUGAAGUAUAGAAAUUUCAAGAUAAUAAUAUUUUUUUUUUGUUAAAUAUAUAUCACCUGUUAUUUGGGUGGAGCAAAUAGCAGCAAAUUCGAUGAUUCCAAAAAAAAUCAAACACAGUCACACUCAAUUAAUUAAUUAAUUUAUUUUCUUUUAUUUUAAAUUUGGAGAUGGGCAUUUUUAAUCUAAUUAAAAAAGAAUGUUAAAAAUAUUUAUAUGCCAUUUCAGAUAAUAUUUGAACCAAAACUCUAUAAUGCCCUCAUGGACAUAGAGAUUCAUGACUUAUUAUUAUCUGUUGCUAACAUGUCACAUGUCUUAUAUGCAAAGAUUUAACAAUAUUGUGGGGGACCAAAUGAAUGAUGUUCAUACAUUUGAAAUGAGGAUAAGAUAAGAUGAACAUUGAUGCACUCUCAUCCUAUUGAAGUAAAGGAGAUUUUAGCUAGUAUAAUAAUUUUGUGAUUAUUGAUUUAGGAUAUUCAUUUUUUAUUACCUUUUGUGGACAUUGGCUUACCAAGGAUUAUUUUUUCUUUUAUUAUAAAUCCAAUAAUGAUAAAACUGUCAAAAUUGUGAAAAUAUUGUGGAUUGAAGUCGAGCAUGUUAACAAGGUAAACUUAUACUCUACAUUUGCUAAGGUAAACUUAUACUCUACAAGGUAAACUUAUACUAUCAUCCUCAUCAGACCUCACGUUAUAUGUCAUAUGCUAUAUCUUCAUUUUCAUCGUGUGGUUUGUAGUAGUAUUCUUCUAUUUUUUUCUUUCGAUUUUUGAGGAAGACAUAAAUUGGAAUAUUGUUUCGAGGGAAUAAAAUCUUAUAUAAAUUGGAUUGUUCUGAGGGAAGAAAUCUUAUCCAGAUUGCUUGGCAUGGUUGGUGCCACAUCCUAAUUUCCAUACCAUGGCCUACUAUUUAGAUUUUAGUUGGCUUGUUGGCUCUCUCCCUAAUUAGUUGGCAAAAGUUUCCCUUUCCGAAGAAGUAUUUAUCGUAUUUUUCAUCUUGAUUGUCGAAAAUAUAUAUAAUAAACUUUACAUCAGUGUAUGAUAAUAGAUGUAAAAGAAUGAUAUCAAAAACAGAUGAUGGGACCAAGAUAUAAAGUAGUAGGACCGAAUUUGAUACAAAAUAAUGAGACUUGAACGUGAUUGAUCAAGUUUUUAUAUAUCAACCAAACCCUAUUAAGAUUUAGCUUGGUUUCUUUUGUGAUUUGAUGUUUCUAAGAUGGGGAGAAGAUGAGUUUUUUUUUUGUUUUUUUUUAUUGAACAUUUGGUAUAUAAUCCAACCAAAAAAAAGGAAGCUCUUAUUAUUUCACAACAAUAUGGUAAUAGUGCAUUGCAUUCUUACCCUGCUAGCCCAAUUAAAUCUCAAAUGCAAUAGGAAACAUCAUAAAGCCAAAGCCACAAUUAUAUGGGCAAAGGGUCUAUGAGUAUGGAUGCAAUGAGAUCUUUCAUAAUGUUUUCAACAUGCGUGUACUUGUCUUUGUCCUUAUAAAGGAUAUCCAUGACGUGGAUAAGAUAAAAAACAUGGAUAAUUGUAUUUUGAACCUCAAAAAAUUAAGUUUUAAUCCAUAUAAGUUCAUUAUUUAAACCCAAAAUUUAGAGAAAGUGUGAAAUUGAAAAGAAUGAUAUUAAUUUUUUAUCUUUUAAAAAAUGACCUUUAUUGACUAUGAAAAAAAGAGUAAAAAAAUAUUAAUUUAAAUUUUAUUCAUUUUUUAAAUCUCACUAAAAUUUAAUUUAAUUUAGUGAUUUGGAAAAAAAUACACCCUUUUCCAAAAAAAUAAAAAAAAAUUAUUAUUAUUUAAAAAUCAAACAUCUUGAAAAAUAUAUAUUUUUAAAAUUGUAUGUAAAAAAUAACUAAAAAUAUGUCAAAAUUAAUUUUUUUAAAUGUAAUAAUUUUAGAAUAUAUAUAUAUAUAUAUUUAAAAAAAAUUAGUUUUCUACAAAUAAUAAAUUUUCGGAAUAAUUAUUAAAAAAAAAUUAAGAUAAAAAAGUUUAUCAAAUAUUAUGAUAGAAAAUAUUCAAAUUAGUUUUAAAUGGUAUAUUAGUCUCUUCAUAUUUUAUAUCAUUCCUAUCAAUUGUGCACCUUUUAUGAGCCAAAUAUUAAUUUUUGAGCUCAAUACUCAUCUUUGUCCUUGUACAAGACAUCCAUGACACGAAUAAAAUUGAGAACAAGUAUGAGGAGAGGCAUCAGUGCUUGCAUAGGUCUGAGAAACUCCUCAUUUAUAUCAUUCUAGGCAUUCAUCAUUUGGUUAUUCAACUCCUCAUACACUUUUUACUCAAAAACCCCAUAUUGCUUCAUGUUGCAUUCCACGUUAGAGGCUAUGUGCCCUCUCUUUUGCUUAAACUAUACAAAAAGUGAAAAUCAAAUUAACAUUCAACAUUAUAUUGAAUUUUUUAGAGUUUAUAAAGUGAAUGACGGUAUAACAUAAUGUUUGAUUGUAAAGCCUAAAUUAGUUUUAUUAUACUGCAUAAAGAGUGUUGAGGGUUGAGCUUCUCACUGAGAUCAAAGAAAUUUUUUUAUUUAUUGAAUGAUGAGUUUGCCUCUAGUUGUUAUAUCUAACUCUCUUAUGAUUUAGGAUUUUUUUUUUAGAGAGUGAAAAUCACGCGUAACCAUAAUUGAGAAGAGAAUGAGAGCUUUUACCAUUGCAACCCUUAUAUAUAUAUUUUUUCGUUUAAUCAAUGGAUUCUUAAAUAUUGAUGUGCUCUAUGAACAUAGAGGUCAUAUUAAUUACCAAAUCACAUUAAAAUCCCAUCCUUUUCUUUAUUUAUGCUUGUGUGUGAUCAUGUUAAUAUAUAGUUAUCAUCUAAUUAUACUUGAUGGGAAAUGAUGUCAUCCAUGAGCCUACAAAUGAUUGAUGAAGCUCUAAUCAUCUUAUGGUUGCUGAAUAUCCAAUCAAAAGCUUCCUUUGUUGCUAUAUCUCCCGUGCCAAUGAAGGAUGUGGCUAGCAUAGAGUACCCACAACUUACUAACGCGUUACUCAUAUACUCAUCCAUGCUCGGUAUGUAUUCUUGGUGGAACCAUUUUGCUUCAGCAAAGUAGGAUCGGAUUAGUUUUUCAUCUGGGUUAUAACAUUAUGUUCCUAGCUUGUACAAUAUAAAUCACGUCAUUGAAAGGUAAAAAAAAAAUAUAUAAAGAGGAAGGACAAACCGCUGCUUUUGCAUAUGGAACACUACAUAGUUUACCUUCCUUGGCCAACUCUUCCUCAAUUUCUUCAUAAACAUCUAAGACAGCUUGAUAACACAAUUUCAUAUAGUCUGGGAGUUGGUCCAUGUUGCUGAUGUUCCAUAUCUGAAAGUGAACAGAUGAAGAUGCACUUAGAUAACUUUGAAUCCGUAAUCUCCAAAAAAAAAUGUAGAAAUUAAAUUGAAGAUAACAAUAUGCAUCUGUCAACCUCUCAAUUGCUUCUGUAAAGAGUUCGAGCUCGUCAAAUGUGCCAUACACAUUUUAUACAUCAUCCACAAUGGAUGUCGUGGCCAUUACUUUGGUUAGGACCCUUCUAGCAAGUAAGUACUGGGGCUCAAACCAUACCCCCAAUACCCAAAAGUAGCACUCCACCAGUCUGUCCCGAGCAAAAGAUAGUUUUGUUGCAAAGUCUAAAUCUUUCCACCACCUGAAAUGGGUAAACUCCGGCAGAUUAUUAGUAUAUUCUAUCUACCUUGUGAGCUUGACACAUGUAAUGUUGGAUUGUGAAGCCCGGAUCAGUAUUAUUCCACUACUCAAAAGGACAUGGAGGGUUAACUUCCUCCUGAUCAUUUAACCCCUUAUGUGUAACUGCAAUUGAGAGGAGAAAGAGGUCAGUCCUAUCAUGUCUUUCUAAGGAGGAAAGAGGGAAACAAAGUAAAAAAAAAUCAUGUGAUACUGAAUGUAUCCAUAAGACAGCCCUAGAUGAUUGUGUGGUGGGGUGUGGAAUAUCAAAGAUAUUCGCUUCAAUUAUGUGAAUGAAAAUUAUGGCUUGUGUUACUCAUGUGCCUAUUAUAGUACAUGUGGGUCACAUCCCUUUCUGGAUUGUUUGAGGAAAACGGAUAUCUUGUUCUGGAAAUGUACCUGAGCUUGUUUCUCAUCCAUCCAGUGGUCAUUUUGGACUGCAAAUGAAAGCUUUGGCUGUUAAUCUUGUACUACUCCAUAUACCCUCCUUGCUUUUUACUUUUAAUUUGGGUGUGUUAUUUGAAUCAAAAUCUUGUGUUACCCGCGCAUUUUCAGGAUAGCUCUGGAUCUUUUUGGACGUUGCUUAUUGGCUGGAUAUGACCAAUGUUUUCAAAACCGGACCGGUGAUCGAACCGGAAAAGUUACCGGUUCACGGUUCACCGGUCGGACCGGCGGUCGAACCGCUAUCGAACCGGUGACGUCAUAAAUAUAUAAUUUAUAUAUUAUUAAAAUUAAAAAUAAUUAUAAAAAUUUUAAAAUAUAUAUGAAUAAAUUAAACAUCAAUAAUAUUAUUUUAUAUCUUUGAUAUUAUCAAAUUAAAUCAUAUUAAUAUUUUAAAUUUUAUUAAAUGAAAUAUGUAUAAUAUUUAAAUGUGAAUAUAUAAAAAAAUGAAAAUUUAAACUAAUUUCAUAAUUUUUAAAAAUAUUAUAUUAUUUUUAUUUAAUAUUUUAAAAAAAUUUAAAAUCUAAUAUAUAUUGUUUUGUUUGGCAUAUGAGAUAAUAAAACACAUGUAGCCGAGUGGUGUCUUAGGUGGACUAUAGUUAAGGAUUGGUCCAAGGUUCAAAUCCUCUUGUGGAGUUUUGUUAUGUUUUUUUUCAUUGAUAUUUAGCAAUCCUACAUCGGAAAUGAGAGAAAUAAGGGGUCAAAUGACUCCUAUAAAAGCCAUCCUCAGCAAAGGCUUGGCAUGGUCUUGUGGGCUCAAAAAAAAGCCCACAAUAAUUGGAGUGGGCAUGUGGGCUGUGUCAUAAGACAGGCCCAACAUGGAAUCCUUCCUUUCAUGCAAUGAGAGGGUAAUAGUUUUAUUUUGUAAUUUUUUUUUUUCAAAAAAUUAAAAUUAUUUGAAUCGGCCGGUUCCCUUGGAACCGGCCGGUUCACCGAUUGAACUGCCGGUUUGAGCGAUUCAACCCCGGUUCGAUCUCAAUCCGGUCCAAAUGACCGGAUCGAACCGGAAUGAUGACUGGUCGAUGGUUGGACCGGCCGGUCCGGUUUUUAAAACAUUGGAUAUGACAAUAGCUCAGAACCACAAAAAAAAAGUAAAUUUUUUUUUUCUUCCUGUUGUCAUCGAUGAUAAACCACGAUUAUUGAUCCAUUAUCGGUCUUUGGCUUCAACAAAGUAGGCUUCGUCUCCCUUUUCCUCCAUUUCUGCAGAACACCAUUUCAUAUAAUGGUCUAGGAGUUGAUCUUAAUUAGCACCGAUAGUGGAUGUCAUGACAAGUCAUUAUUAUUAUUAUUAUUAUUAUUAAUCUUGGAUUCAAUAAGGUCAAAAUAAAAGAAUUGGGAUUAAGGAAUUUUGAUUAAUGGAAAUUCAAAAAUAAUAGCCAGAUAAUACUAUUUCACAUUGAAGCUUGGGAAGCAAUAAAAAUGGAAAAUUGGUAAUCGACUCUCUCAUAUAAGUUGAUAUAAUUAACAAAGUAUAUAUGUGAAAGGGUUUGCAUAUGUAUGAUAUAUCCAAAAUUGAUCCAAUUAAUAGUAAAUUAAGUCCAAGCAUUCCAAAAUACUCUAUCAGUAAUUAAAUGUGUUUAUGUAAUGAAGAUUUUGACUCAUUUACAUGUUAAAAAACAGUUAAACUUUAUUUAUUUUUAAAUCCAUUUUAAAUCAAAUAUAUUAACAAUUAUUAUAUUCAUUUUUAACCAAAACAAAUUAUACCUUUUCAUGUUAAUAUCCAUAUUUUUAUAACAUAUACUAAAAUAAUAUAUUUUUAUAAAAAGAAAUAUAAUUUAUGAUUUUAUUAUAAUAUUACUAUUCAUAUUUUUAUUAAAAACCAUUUAUUUACAAUUACAAAACCAUUUUGAUUUUCAAUAAGAUUGAAAUUAAAUUUAAUUAACAUUAUAUAAAUUAAAUUUACAAUAUUUUUUCAAAAUCAAAAUAAAAAAUUAUUUUUAAAAAAAUUUAUUAAAACAUGUUUUUUUUUUUUUGAAAAAUAUAUUUUAAAACAACUUAUCAAAUAUCUUUAUUUUUAUAAAAUACUAAAACAUUGGUUUUCCUUUUUAACUUAAACUUAAUUUCUGAAAACUAGAAAAUAUGGUCAAAUGGGAUCUUAUUUUAUUUUUUUUUAUUUAAAGUGAUUUUUAAAGAUUUUAAAACUUCGUUAAACAUUUCAUUUAUACAAGAAAAGCACUUUCAAUCAUUUAAAAAACGCUUUUAAUCACUCUUGCAAAUAUGCUAGAAACCAAAAAUUAGAGAUUGAUACAAUUAGUCUAGUUGAAAAAUAAUAUUAACGUAAAGAUAUUUUGUAAUGAUAAUUUUUAUUUAAUUUAAAAUUUUACACUUUUCAUCAAUUUGCAAUCACAUAGGCCUACCAAGGAUUUGAUUUUAUCUUCUAAAUUCAAUGAUUAUAGUAAUAAAACAUUCAAAAAUUGUCACACAUUAUAAGUCAAAUUAAUUUAUGCACAUUAAAUAUUAAUAUACAGAAUGUCUCAUCUUUUCUAUCAAAUUAUGUCUUUGACUAACAACUUUUUGUAAUUUUUGUUUAAUUAGUUUGAAAUCAUAGUUUGAAAAUACAUAUCUCAAAAUGUGGUUUCUAAAUUUGUACUGAAUGCUAGGUUUUGAAAUACAAAAGCUCCAACAGCAUAUUUUGUGGGCUAAAGGUGAGUUUGAGGCAAAAGUCUAUAUGCCCUCACACAUUGAUUGAUGAAUUAUUGCUAUUUGUGGUUGAUUUGUCACUUCUUUCAUGUCAAAACACUUAGCAAACAUGUGGGACAAACUGAACGACUUUCAUACGAUCGGGCUUCUAAUGUCCUGUUGAUAUCAUCCCAUUCAAAAAUAAUUUCAACUUAGAAACAUAAAAAGUGUUACAAGUGAGUAGACAUUUGCCCCACAUCAUAAAUAAUUGAAUCAAAGAUAAGAUUUUCAUUGCCUUUUAUGGACCAACCAAAGAUUUUGAGUCAUAGCAAGUAUUUAUAAUAAUUGAAGGUACUAUCUAUAUUAUUAAAGGAUAGUACUUAUGCGAUCACACCUUCAAUUGAUUAGAAAUGCACAAAAUUUUAAUUAUUUUUAAAUAAUUAAAAUUGAGUUUUUUUAAAUAUGCUAAUAAAAACACACUUUUCCCAUUUUACUUUUUAUCAUAAAUCCUAUGAUUAUAAAACCAUCAAAAUUGUGAAAAUAUGUAGAUUAAAGUCAAGCAUGUGAACAAAGGUAAAAUGAUACUCUUCAAUGCUCAUAAAACUACCAUAAUUGUGGUUCCAAAUUUUUGUUGGAUGGAAUAUAGUAGUUAAAAAAUUUCUUACACACGAUAAAUUAUGGCUAGGUUUGAGAACAAUUCUAAAAAAUAAUUUUUAAAAUUAUUAUAUGAUAUUUUAUAAAAUAAAAAUCUAUUUAGGAGUAUGAAAUGUUCUUAAUAUAUUUUUUAUUUUUUAAAUAUAUUUUAAAAAUAAAUUUUAUCUCCAAUACUUUAUUUUUUAUAUUUGUAUAAUUCUUAUAUACAACAAUUAUCAAAAAAUAAGUAAAAACAAUCUAAAAGAUAUUUUUUUUAAAUAUCCUAUUUUAAAUUUUUUAUUUUUUGUUUUUUAUUUUUAUUUUUAUUUUUAAAUAACAUAUAACUAUUUUUAAAAAUAGUUGUCAAGUGACUAGACAACCCGUCAUUAUCCAAAUCGGAGACAAAUUGACGUGGCAUCCACACAAGAUAACUCCAUAAUUUAGAAAGAUUUCCUUUCUCAUGUGCUCUUGCUUCAUCUCGGGAAUUAUAAGAUUUGCAACUUUUAGACAGGAAUAUAAUCUUUCUUCUGGGGUCUCCAUGAAUGACUCAUGUCUCCAUAACAAAAAGGGACUUUUGAUAAAAGUAUGGUAAGUUUAAAAAAUUAUUCUUAAAUUAUGGUAGUAGGAAAAGUAAUUCUAAAUCUAAGUAGGAGAGGUAUUAGAAAUCGUCUUUUCAAAAGACGAUUUCUAUCAAAACAAGUAAAAAAAAAAAAUUAAUCCCUCAAAAAUUGUCUUUUGAAAAGAUGAGAUGAUUUUCCCUUAAUAAAUAAAUAAAUAAUCCAAAAAAUAAAAUAAAAUUUCCUAAAUGGAAAUCGUCUCUUUCAAGACACGAUUUCCCUUAAAAAAAAUCCAAAAAAAAAAAAUACAUCCAAAUUUAAUAUCUUUAAUUAUCUCUAUUUUAUAAAACAAAUAAUACAAUUUAAUAUAUAAAUAUUUUAUAAAUCCAUUUUAAAAUUAAAAAAUUAAUUAUAUUUAUACAAUUAUUAUAAAUAUAUAUUAAAAAAUUAAUUAAUUUGAUUUACUAAAUUUAAUAUAAUAUAAAUAAUAUUUAUCUAUUGUUUUUUUUUCUUUCACUUUGCAAUUAAAAAAAAAACUGUUAUCAAUUUAUAUGAAAAAAUGAGUUUAAAAAAUUAAAUUUAUUAUGAAUUUAUUAAAUAAUUAUUUACACAAUAAAUCAUUUUGUUUUGUUUUUAUUUUUAAAUUAAUUAUAUUAUAUAAUUUUAAGAUUAAAAAUAUUAAUCUUUUAAGUUAAAAUUUCAUGUGUUUUCAUAACUCUUAUAACCUAUUAUACUUCAUCACACCAAUUUGAAGAAGACCGUUUGCUACCCUCAUACCAAUUUGAAGAAGACCGUUUACUAUCCUCUCACCAAUUUGAAGAAGAACACUUCAUCACACUAAUUUGAAGAAGACCGUUUGCUACCCUCUCAUAACUAGCCCAUUGGUAUAGAAGACCGUUUUUUUUUUUUAAACUUUUUUGGCAAAUUGUCUCUUUAAGAGAUGAUUUCCACUUAAAUAAUUUUUUUUGAAAUCAUCUUUUCAAAAGACGAUUUUUGAGGGAUUAAUUUUUUUUUUUUUUACUUGUUUUGAUGGAAAUUGUCUUUUGAAAAGACGAUUUCCAAUUCCUGCAAAAUCCGCUCUCCUACCUGACAAAAACUACUAUAUAUUUGGAAUUAUUUUUCCUAUUACGAUAAUUUAAGAAUAAUUUUUUUAAUUUACUGUACUCUUGUCAAAAGUCCUAACAAAAAGGGCAAAAAACUUUUAGAAAGAUUCCAUUUAUAGAUGUUACCAAAAAUUACUUUGCUACCAUAAUUUUAGACAUGAAUAUAAUCUUCUUCUGGGAAUAUACCUGAGCUUGAGUUUCUCAUCCAUCCAGUGGUCAUUUGCUUGGUCUGCCCUUUCCUAUAUUUUUGCAUAACACCAUGAAUAAUUUUGAAUACUACGCUUAAGGAAAUUUGAUUUGUGGAAAGAAAAAAUAAUUGCCAGAAAACUGUUUCGUAUUGCGGCUUGGGAGACAACUCCAUGUAAGUCGAUAUAACGAACAAAGUAUGUGAAGGGUUUAUAUAUAUAUAUAUAUAUAUAUACAUACAUACAUACAUAUAUAUAUAUAUCCAAAAUACCAUGCCUCGAUGCUAGAUUACAUUUAACAUUUGACAACACUAGAGAUUAUGAUGACAAACUGUUGUGGAAGGUGAUAUAUCAUACAUGUUAUACAAACAUUAUUAAUCCUUUUCACAUGGUACAUACAUAUAUAUAGAACCAUCUCCUGGCCAUUUACAUUGGCACAGGAUCUAUGAGCAUCCCUGCAACCAGAUCUUUCAUCAAUGGUCCAACCAGCGUGUACUCAUCUUCGUCCUUGUACAAGACGUCCAUCAUCCGGCUAAAAUUCAGAACAC